CAAUGCUUAUACUAACCAGAAUAAAUACAGUAAGCUGUAGUUGUUCUGGUGACUAUAGUGUCCCUUUAACCUUCACUUUCCAUAGGGCAUGUUCACCUCAUCAGCAUUAUGGGUACAUUUCGUAAGAGAAAAAUAAUGUACUAAUGAUCAAUGACCGAUUUUUUUAAUUUUAUUGAGCAGGUUUUCUCAUUCAUCAAUUUUAGACCUACCACUGUCUAGAAACAUCUUCCAGAAAUCCCCCUAUAUACUGUAUGAAUACAAACAGGAAAUAUUUUAAAUUACCAUUAAAGAUACACUCUGGACCACUAAAGCACUUCAGCUUCAAUAGUUAUAGUAAAAAUUGCAGAUUUCAAUAGGAACUGGCACUUUUGUAAAUUAACCUUGUUACACCUCCCUGGUUGUCAGUCAGACAGACACCUGUUACUUCAGUGGAGCUAAACUCAAGAGGCAGCAAUUACCCAAUGCUCUUGCCUUACAAAGACCUUUCAUUGAGCUGCAUUG